rnacentral:rRNA from 1 species
GUAGGUGGCAAGCGUUGUCCGGAAUUAUUGGGCGUAAAGCGCGCGCAGGUGGUUCGUUUAAGUCUGAUGUGAAACGCCCCCGGGCUCAACCGGGGAGGGUCAUUGGAAACUGGGGAACUUGAGUGCAGGAGAGGAAAGUGGAAUUCCACGUGUAGCGGUGAAAUGCGUAGAUAUGUGGAGGAACACCAGUGGCGAAGGCGACUUUCUGGCCUGUAACUGACACUGAGGCGCGAAAGCGUGGGGAGCAAACAGGAUUAGACACCCUGGUAGUCCACGCCGUAAACGAUGAGUGCUAAGUGUUGGGGGGUUUCCGCCCCUCAGUGCUGCAGCUAACGCAUUAAGCACUCCGCCUGGGGAGUACGGUCGCAAAGACUG